rnacentral:tRNA from 1 species
GCCUCCCUAGCUCAGUGGUAGAGCACUCGCCUUGUAAGCGAGCGGUCAUCGGUUCAAUCCCGAUGGGAGGCUCGA